rnacentral:rRNA from 1 species
UACGGAGGGUGCGAGCGUUGUCCGGAAUCACUGGGCGUAAAGGGCGCGUAGGCGGCGCGGAUAGUCGGCGGUGAAAGCCCGGAGCUCAACUCCGGGUCGGCCGUCGAUACUUCCGGGCUUGAGCACUGUAGAGGCAGAUGGAAUUCCGGGUGUAGCGGUGGAAUGCGUAGAGAUCCGGAAGAACACCGGUGGCGAAGGCGGUCUGCUGGGCAGUUGCUGACGCUGAUGCGCGACAGCGUGGG